GUGGCACAUAUACACCAUGGAAUAUUAUGCAGCAAUCAGAAAUGAUGAAUUUGUGUCGUUUGUAGGGACAUGGAUGAAUCUGGAGAACGUCAUCCUCAGCAAACUGACACAAGAACAGAAAAUGAAACACCGCAUAUUCUCACUCAUAGCAGCGUUUCUACAUUUCUCUGAGGUGGAGCUCCCAGAGACAAUCGAAGACUCCAUUGCCACUACCGCUGCAUUAAUACUGCCCUUGCUGGCAUCCGACUUUGUAAGGAGCAAACAACCCAAGUGCUUUAAUGACACCUCAAGCAAGCCACAGCUGCCCUAAAGAGAAGAGGUCACUUUGCUCCCCAACAAGCUCCCUGUGACCCUGGUCGUCACCAGGCAGGACCCCUCAGCUUGGGCCUACAACAUAGCCACCCCAUUCCAGGUUGAUCACACAAAGGAGCUCUGCAUUCUUCAGGGAUAGAGCCCCAAGAUACAAGUGGAAGUUCCGCUGCCAUAGCCAUGGCCAAGUUUCCUUCCCUUGCUUCCUGUAGCAUGAAGAAGAAAAAGCCUGAGUUCUCCCAAGGACUGUGGUAUGUAGCCUGGGAGUACCAAGCUGAGAUCUACAGUUAGCAUUUGAACAGGAGAGAAACCCACAGUUUCAAAGCACUGAGAGGGAGCAUGGUACAAACAUUAGUAAAUACAGAGGAGCCACAUGGCUGAGCAAGAGCCUAUCUACUAGCCAUUAUGCUUAAAAGCCAUGAAUCACAAUCCAAACUUCAGUAAAAAUACUUUGUUAAUAUACCACUCUGUGAAAUCAUGGACCAAAACUCAGAUACAAAUGGAGAACCUACAUAAAGCAUUAGCCCCCUGGAAACAACCAGACCAGAAAAGGAGCCAACCAACUGCACUAAAAUUAUACCACCUUAAAGGAACAUCAACCCACAAUUCAAAUGGUCUGAAGGUCCCCUGUUGUCCAAACAGCCACACUAGUUCCCCAGCAAGGGUUCUUAAGCAGACUGAAAUGGCUGAAAUGACAGAAACAGAAUUCAUAAUAUAGAUAACAAUAAAGACCAUUGAGAUUAAGAUGAAAAUUGAAACAUGAUUUAAGGAAUUUAUGGAAAAUAAUAAAACAACACAUGAGCUGACAGAUGAAAUGGCAGUUAUAAGAAAGAACCAAACUGAGCUGAUAGAUCACACAACAAACAUUUUAUAAUGCAACUACAAGUAAUAAGAGCAAAAUAAACUAAGCUGAGGAAAGCAAUUCAAAGCUUGAAGACUGGUUCAGUGAACUAACUCAGUCAGACAAAAAUAGAGAAAAAAAUGAACAAAAAAAAAAAACUUCAGGAAAUACUGGAUUAUGUAGCGAGAACAAAUCUAUGACAUAUUGGUGAAGAAGAAGAUGGGAAGAAGAUGGAGAGAAAGGAAGCGAAUUGGGUAAUAUAUUUCAGGGUAUCAUCUGUGAAAAUUUCCCCAACCUCAUUGGAGAGGUCAUCCUUCAAAUUCAAGAAUGUAAAGAACACCUACAAGAUACUACACAAAAAGGGCAUUAGUAAGACACAUAGUCAUCAGAUUUGCCAAAAACAAAAGUGAAAGAAAAUAAUUAAAGGCAGCUUGAGGGAAAGGGUAGGUCAUCUACAAAGGGAAUCCAUCAAACUGACAGAGGACCUUUCAACAGAAACUCUACAAAUGAAUGUUCAACAUUCUCAAAAAAAAAAAAGAAAGAAAGAAACUCCAACCAUGUAUUUAUAUCUAGCCAAACUAAGCUUCAUAAGCAAAGGAGAAAUAAGAUCCUUUUGAGAUAAACAAAUGCUAAAGGAAUUCAUUACCACAAGACCUGUCUUACAAGUGGUCCUGAAGGAAUCACUAAAAAGAAAAGACUGUUACCAGCUACUAGAAAAAACACACUGAAGUACACAGACCAGUGACCCUAUAAAGCAAUCACACAAACAGGUCUGUAUAAUAACCAGAUAAAAACAGAAUGACAGGAUCAAAUCCACACAUAUUAGUAUUAACAUUGAAAGUAAAUAGGCUGAAUGUCCCAUUCAGAAGGCACAGAGUGACAAGCUGGGUAAAGAGGCAGGACCUAAUGGGAUGCUGCCUUCAAAAGACCCAUCUCACAAGCAAUGACACCUAUAGUGUCAAAGCAAAGGGAUGAAGAAAAUUCUAAAAAGCAAAUGAAAACAGGAAAAAAAUAAAAAAUUACCAUCUUAAUUAGACAAAACAGACUUUAAACCAACAAAGAUCAAUAAAGACAAAGAUGAGCAUGAUAUAAUUAAUAGUAAAGUGUUGAAUUCCAAACAAGAAGACUUAACUCUACUAAAAAUAUAUGCAACCAACAAAAAAGCACCCAGAUUCAUAAGGCAAGCUCUUAGAGAUCUAUGAGGAGACUAAGUUUCCAUGUGAUAAUAGUGUGAGACUUUAACACCAAAUGGACAAUAUUAGACAGAUCAUCCCAGCAGAAAACUAACAAAGAUAUUCAGGAGUUAAUUAACACUUAACCAAACAGACCCAAUAGACAUUUACACGUUUUCACCUCCAAAACAACAAAAUGCAUGUUAUUCUCAUUCACUCAUGGAACAUACCAAUCCACAGCAAAAGCAAUGAAAAAAAAUUAUACCAACCACACUCUUAGACAACAAUGUAAUAAAAAUGUAAAUCAGUACUAAGAAAAUUACUCCAAACUAUACAAACACAUGGAAAUUAAACAAGUUGUUCCUGAAUUACUUUGUGUAAAGCAUGAAAUUAAACCAGAAAUUAAAUUCUUUGAAAUUAAUAAGAACAAAGAUAAAAUCUACCAGAAUCUCUAUGACACAGCUAGAGCAGUUUUAAGAGGGAUGUUUAUAGCACUCAACGCUCUUAUUAAAAAGUCAGAAAGAUGUAAAAUUAACAAGCUAAUAUCUGAACUAUGGAAACUAGAGAAGCAAGAGCAAACCAACCCAAAUGCUAGCAGAAGACAAGAAAUAACCAAAAUCAGAGCCAAACUGAAGAAAACUAAAAUACACACACAGAGAUACAAAAGGUCAAUAAAUCCAUGAGUUGAUUCUUUGAAAGAAUUAAUAAGACACAUCACUAACUAGACUAAUUUAAAAAAGAGAAGAUUGAAAUAAACAGAAUAGGAAAUGACAAAAGAUACAUUAUCACUGACCCCACAAAAAUAGAAAAAAAACCCUUUGAGACUACUACUAACUCCUCUACAGACUCCAGCUAAAAAUAUGGAAUAAAUGGAUGAAUUCCUGGAAAUAUACAGCCUCCUAAUUUUGACAGGAAGAAAUAAAAUCCUUGAACAGACUAAUAAUGAUUCCAAAAUGCAAAAAGGAAUAAAGUUUCCACAACCAGAAAAAGACCAGGCACAGAUAGAUGCACAGCUGAAUUCUCCUAGUUAUAUAAAGACGAGCUGGUAUCAUUCCUAUCAACAUUAUACCAAAAAAUGAGAAGGAGAGCCUCCACCCUAACUCAUUCAAUGAGGCUAACAUCAUUCCAAUGUCAAAUCUGGCAGAAACACAACAGAAAAAGAAAAUUUCAGGUCGAUAUCCUUGAUGAACAUAGACGCAAAAAUCCUUAACAAAUGACUAGCAAACUGAAUCCAGCAGGACAACAAAAAGCUAAUAUGCCACGAUCAAGCAGGCUUUAUCCCUGGGAAGCAAGACUGGUUAACAUACACAGAUCGAUAAGUGGGAUUCAUCAUAUAAACAGAACUACAAAUAAAAGCCAUAAGAUUAUCUCAAUAGAUGCAGAAAAGGCUUUAUAUUCAUAAAAUUCAACAUCCUUUCAUAUUAAAAACCCUCAACCAAGUAGGCAUUUGAGAAACAUAUUUCAAAAUAAUAAGAGCCAUCUAUAAAAACCCACAGCCCAAUACAGGAGCACCCACGUAUGUAAAGCAAGUUCUAAACCACCUACAAAGAGACUUAGACUCCCAUGAAAUAAUAGCAGGAGACUUUAACAGUCUACUGCCAAUAUUAGGCAGAUCAAUGAGACAGAAAAUUAACAAGGACUUGAACUCAGAUCUGGACCAAGCAGACCUAAUAGACAUCAACAGAAAUCUCUACCCCAAAUCCAUAGAAUAUACAUUUUCUCAGCACCACAUCAUACCUACUCUAAAAUUGACCACAUAAUUGGAAGUAAAUCACUCCUCAACAUAUGGAAAAGAAAGGAAAUCAUAACAGUUUCUCAGACCACAGCACAAUCAAAUUAGAACUCAGAAUUAAGAAACUAACUCAGAACUGCACAGCUUCAUGGAAACUGAACAACUGGCUCCUGAAUGUCAACUGGAUAAACAAUGAAAUCAAGGCAGAAAUAAAGAUGUUCUUUGAAAACAAUGAGAACAAAAACACAAUGUACCAGAACCUCUGGGACACAUUUAAAGCAGGAUCUAUAUGGAAAUUUACAGUAAUAAAUGCCCACAUGAGAAGCAAGGAAAGAUCUAAAAUCUACACCCUAUCAUCAAAAUUGAAAGAGCUAGAGGAGCAUGAUCAAAAAAAUUUGAAAGCUAACAGAAGACAAGAAAUAACUAACAACAGAGCAGAAUUGAAAGAGAUAGAGAGCAAAAAAAAAAAAACCCUUCAAAAAAUCAAUAUAUCUAGGAGCUGCUUUUUUGAAAAGAUCAACAAAAUAGACUGCUAACCACAUUAAUCAAAAACAAAUGGGAGAAUAAUCAAAUAGAUGCAAUAAAAAAUGAUGAAGGGGAUGUCACCACUGAUUCCACAGAAAUACAAACUACAAUCAGAGAUUACUACAAACAACUCUAUGCACAUAAACCAGUAAACCUGGAAGAAAUGAAUAAAUUCCUAGACACUUGCACUCUCCCAAGCCUAACCCAGGAAGAAGUCGAAACCCUGUAUAGACCAAUAACAAGGGCUGAAGUUGAGGCAGCAAUUAAGAGCCUACCAACCAAAAAAAGUCCAGGUGUAGAUGGGUUCACAGCUGAAUUCUACCAGACAUACAAAGAGGAGCUGGUACUAUUCCUUUUGAAACUAUUCCAAACAAUGCAAAAAGAGGGAAUCCUUCCCAAAUCAUUUUAUGAGACCAACAUCAUCCUGAUACCAAAACCCAUCAGGCACUCAACAAAAAAAGAAAACUUCAAGCCAAUAUCCAUGAUGAACAUAGAUGCAAAAAUCUUCAAUAAAAUACUGGCAAACCAGUUUCAACAGCACAUCAAAAAGCUUAUCCAUCAUGAACAAGUAGGCUUCAUUCCAGGAUGCAAGGCUGGUUCAACAUAUGCAAGUAUACAAACAUAAUCCACCACAUAAACAGAAACAAUGACAAAAACCACAUGAUUAUCUCAAUAGAUGAAGAGGAGGCCUUCAACAAAAUUCAACAGCCCUUUAUGCUAAAAACUCUCAAUAAACUAGGUAUCAAAGGAACAUAUCUCAAAACAUUAAAACUAGUUACAACAAACCUAAAGCCAGUAUCAUACUUAAUGGGCAAAAACUGGAAGCAUUCCCUUUGAAAUCUGGCACUGGACAAAGAUGCCCUUUUUCACCACUCCUGUUCAAUAUAGUUUUGGAAGUUCUAGCCAGAGCAAUUAGGCAAGAAAAAAAAAAUUAAAGCAUAUUCAAUUAGGAAGAGAGGAAGUCAAAUUGUCUCUAUUUGCAGAUGACAUGACUGUAUAUUUAGAGGACCCUGUAAUCUCAGUCCCAAAUCUCCUUAAACUGAUGAGCAACUUCAGCAAAGUCUCAGAAUACAAAAUUAAUGUGCGGAAAUUACAAGCAUUUCUAUACACCAAUAGCAGACUAACAGAGAGCCAAAUCAUGAGCGAACUCCCAUUCACAAUUGCUACAAAAAGAAUAAAAUACCUAGGAAUACAACUAACAAAGGAUGUAAAGGACCUCUUCAAGGAGAAGUACAAACCACUGCUCAAUGUAAUAAGAGAGGACACAAACAGAUGGAGAAACAUUUCAUGCUCAUGGUUAGGAAGAAUCGAUAUCAUGAAAAUAGCCAUACUGCCCAAAGUAAUUUAUAGAUUCAAUGCUAUCCCCAUCAAGCUACUAAUGACCUUCUUUAUAAAACUGGAAAAAAAACACCUUAAACUUCAUAUGAAACCAAAAGAGAGCCUGUAUAGCCAAGACAAUCCUAAGCAAAAAGAACAAAGCUGGAGGCAUCACACUACCUGAUUUCAAACGACACUACAAGGCUACAGUAAUCAAAACAACAUGGUAUUGGUACCAAAACAGAGAUAUAGACCAAUGGAACAGAACAGAGGCCCUGGAGGCAAUGACACACAUCUACAUCCAUCUGAUCUUUGACAAACCUGACAAAAACAAGCAAUAGGGAAAGGAUUCCCUGUUUAAUAAAUGGUGUUGGGAAAACUGGCUAGUCAUGUGCAGAAAACAGAAACUGGACCUCUUCCUGACACCUUACACUAAAAUUAACUCCACAUGGAUUAAAGACUUAAACAUAAGACCUAACACCAUAAAAACCCUAGAAGAAAACCUAGGCAAACCCAUUCAGGACAUAGGCAUAGGCAAGGACUUAAUGACUUAAACACCAAAACUAUUGGCGACAAAAGCCAAAAUAGACAAAUGGGACCUAAUUAAACUCCAGAGCUUCUGUACAGCAAAAGAAACAAUUAUUAGAAUGAACCUACAACCAACAGAAUGGGAAAAAAUUUCUGCAAUCUACUCAUAUGACAAAGGGAUAAUAUCCAGACUCUAUGAAGAACUGAAACAGAUUUACAAGAAAAAAACCAAUGAACCCAUCAAAAAGUGGAGAAGGAUAUGAAGAGACACUUUUCAAAAGAAGACAUAUAUGAGGCCAACAAACAUAUAAAAUAUGCUCAUCAUUACUGAUUAUUAGGGAAAUGCAAAUCAAAGCCACAUUGAGAUACCACCUCACACCAGUUAGAAUGGUGAUCAUUAAAAAAAUCUGGAGACAACAGAUGCUGGAAAGGAUGUGCAGAAAUAGGAACACUUACACACUGUUAGUGGGAGUGUAAACUAGUUCAAGCAUUGUGGAAGACAGUGUGGCACUUCUUCAAGGACUUAGAAAUAGAAAUACCAUUUGACCCAACAAUCCCAUUAGUGGGUAUAUACCCAAAGGAUUUCAAAUCAUUCUAUUAUAAAGACACUUGCACAAGUAUGUUCAUAGCAGCACUGUUUACAAUAGCAAAGACCUGGAACCAAGCCAAAUGCCCAUCAAUGAUACACUGGACAAAGAAAAUGUGGCACAUGUACACCAUGGCAUACCAUGCAGCUAUAAAAUAUGAUGAGUUUAUGUCCUUUGUAGGGACAUGGAUGAAUCUGGAAACCAUAAUUCUCAGCAAUCUGACAUAAAAACAGAAAAUCAAAUACCACAUGUCCUCACUCAUAGGCGGGUGAUGAACAAUGAGAACCAUGGACAUAGGGAGGGGAGCAUCACACACUGGGGUUUGUUGUGGGAAAUAAGAGAGGGACAGUGGGGGAGGGGUAGGAAGGUUGGGGAGGGAUAACAUGGGGAAAAAUGCCAGAUGUAGGUGAUGGGGGGAAGGGGGUGGCAACCACAUUGCCAUGUGUGUACUUAUGCAACAAUCCUGCAUGAUCUGCACAUCUAUCACAGAAUCUAAAGUACAACUAAAAAGCAAAAGACAAUUUAAAAUUCUGAACCCCCCCAAAAAAUCCACAGACAAAAUUAUACUAAAUGGGCAAAAUCUGGAAACAUUCCCCUCGAAAACUAGGACAAGAUGAUAAUGCCGUCUCUCAUCACUCCUACCGAACAUAGUACUGGAAACCCCGGCCAGAGCAAUAGGGCAAGAGAAAGAAAUUAAAAAUGCCCAAAUAGGAAGAGAUGAAGUAAAACUAUCCCUGUUUGCAGAUAAUAUAAUUUGAUACUAGAAAACCAUAGAGUCUUUACAUAAAAGCUCCUUGAUCUAACAAACAACUUUAGCAAAGUUUCAGGUACAAUAUCAGUGUACAAAAAUCAGUAGAAUUCCUAUAAAUCAAUAACGUCCAAGCUGAUUGCAGAUAAACUAUGCAAUCCCAUUCACAAUAGCCAAAAAGAGAAUAAAGUAUCUAGGAAUACAGCUAACAAGGAAGGUGAAAGAUCUCUAAACAAGGACUACAAAACAUUGCUCAAAGAAACCAGAGAUGGCACAAACAAAUGGAAAACAUUCCAUGGUCAUGAAUAGAAAGAAUCAAUACUGUUGAAAUGACCAUAUUAGUCAAAGGAACUUAUACAUUCAUUUCUAUCAAACCACCAAUAACCUUUUUCACUGAACCCUAAAAUGCUAUUUUCAGUCAUUUGUAACCAAAAUAGAAUUUGAGUAACCAAGGCAAUCCUAAGAAAAAAGAGCAGAGAUGAAGGCAUAAUAUUUCCCAACUUUUACCUAUACUACUCAGCUCCAGUAACCAAAACAGAAGGACAUUGGUACAAAAACAGACACGUAGUCCAAUGGAACAGAAUGGAAAGCCCAGAAAUAAUGCCUCACAUGUACAAGCAUUUAAUUUUCAACAAAGCUGACAAAUACAAGCAACUGGGAAAGGAUUCCUCAUCCAAUCAAUGGUGCUGAUUUAACUGGACUAGCCAUGUUCAGAAGAUGGAAACUGGACCCCUACUUUACACCAUAUACAAAAAUUGAUGCAAGAUAAAUUAAAGACAAUGUAAAAUUGAAAACUGUAAAAACCCUGGAAGAUUACCUAGGAAACACAACUCUGGAUAUGGUACCUGGCAAAUAUUUCAUGACAAAGAUGCCAAAAGCAAUUUUGACAAAAACAAAAAUUGACAAAAGGCACCUAAUUAAAGUAAAAAAAAAAAAGAAAAACAGAGAAAAAGAAACUGUCAACAGAGUAAACAGAAGAGCUGCAGAAUGACAGAAAAUAUUUUCAAACUACCACCAUGACCAGCUAAUUUUUAUUUAUUUAGUUUUUUGCAGAGACAAGGUUUCACCAAGUUUCCCAGGCUGGUCUUAAACUCCUGAGCUCAAUCUACCCAACUCAGCCUCCCAAAGUGCUGCUAUUACAGGUAUGAGCCACCAUGCCCUGCCUGUGCCACACUUCUUAUAUAGCCUGCAGAACCAUGAGCCAAAUAAACCUCUUUUCUUUAUAAAUUAA